CAGCACAGUCUAGGCAGAAGAUGACACCGUGGCCACUGGGCUGAAAACCGAGACGGCAGCCCUUGCAAGACACGGGAAAGAAGAGGCCCAGCCUCCCCACGACACCUAGACAAUGCAGGCAGCCAUGCCGAUCGCCUGGGACCAUCAUGACAGUGACAUCCAGCAAGUAAAAGGUGUCCAGCACAGCGCACACGGGGACACUCCUGCAGACAACUAAUGGGGAACACAGGAUGACACAAAACGAAGAACAUAUUUACUGCGUUCGAGACGACCAGGAAGACGACACAGACGACCAGGAAGAAGACGACCCUGAGCUGCGACACCGCGCCGUCUCUGGACCACCCUGAGCUGCGACACCGCGCCGUCUCUGGACCACCCUGAGCUGCGCCACCGCGCCGUCUCUGUG